UCGAACUCCUGAAACCUACUCCGACCCGCACAAUUCAAACACAGCCACGGGCCUCCAGUGGAGGCGUAUAGUUCCUCGCUGUACUUCUUCAUGUAUCACGGAAUAAACUGUGGCAGUACACCUAGUAGGUUCGUCUCAUAAGCAGCUUAGAACAGUAUGACUCCUAUCCAUUUGGUGCGAACGCCGACAUUAACUUGAACAAGACCCAGAAACAUUCGGGUUGGGUGCGG
rnacentral:rRNA from 1 species